UCUGGCAGGACGAAGUCUGCUAUCUCGGGCACCGCAUCAACAAGGACGGCCUACACCCUACGGAAAAGAACCUGGCGGCUAUAAUGGAAGCAAGGAGCCCGAAGAACGAAGUUGGAACUCACCGUAGCCCAGGGUUUGCUCUACUGGGGGCACCGGGUCGUCGUGCCACAGACAGCACGUGGAGCGAUGCUAAAAAUGCUGCACGAGACCCAUCAAGGAGCAUCGGCGAUGAAGGCGGUCGCGCGGACACUUCUUUGGUGGCCAGGGCUCGAUGGAACCCCGUAGCAAGCUGUGGCCCGGAGAUCCAGUUUGGGCCCGGAACUUCGGAGAAGGAGAAAGGUGGUUGCCAGGGACGGUAACUACAACGACCGGAGCAAGGAUGGUCUCAGUGGACACACCGUCGGGAGAAGUCCGAUGUCACAUUGACCAGAUCCGUUUUCGAGAGCCGCUGGCACUCAAAGUACCAGGGACAGCGGCAAAGACAACGCAAGGCGCUCGACAAGAUGCAGUACAAGAUACAACACCUGCAGAACCAACCAUCAGCACCACCCAGCCGCCAGAGUUGCGAAGGUCAACCAGAGAAAGGAAGCCUGUAGAUCGCUAUAGCCCCUGGGGGGAAGGAAUGCUGUAUCAGAGCUGUGUCAUGACUCUUGGAAACUUUGUAUCAUCCUCCAAUGUACUUAUCAUUCUUAUCACCACCCUUUCUGUUUUGCACCCGAAGCAUCGGCUGCCUAUAUUAUCACGUCCCUGACAAUAAACGUUGUUCAC